rnacentral:rRNA from 1 species
UACAGAGGUGGCAAGCGUUGUUCGGAAUUACUGGGCGUAAAGGGCGCGUAGGCGGUUCGUCAAGUCCUGUGUGAAAUCCCCCGGCUCAACUGGGGAACUGCACAGGAAACUAGCGGGCUUGAGUUCGGGAGAGGGAAGCGGAAUUCCGGGUGUAGCGGUGAAAUGCGUAGAUAUUCGGAAGAACACCAGUGGCGAAGGCGGCUCACUGGUCCGGUACUGACGCUGAGGUGCGAAAGCGUGGGGAGCAAACAGG